rnacentral:rRNA from 1 species
UGAGGAAUAUUGCGCAAUGGGCGAAAGCCUGACGCAGCGACGCCGCGUGGAGGAUGAAGGCCCUCGGGUUGUAAACUCCUGUCAGUGGGGAAGAGAACGGACGGUACCCACUGAGGAAGCUUCGGCUAACUACGUGCCAGCAGCCGCGGUAAGACGUAGGGAGCAAGCGUUGUCCGGAAUUACUGGGCGUAAAGAGCUCGUAGGCGGGAGCGUGCGUCUGAAAGGAAAUCUCAGGGCUCAACUCUGGGGCUUUUUCAGAUACGGCGCUUCUUGAGUGUAACAGAGGAAAGCAGAAUUCCCGGUGUAGCGGUGAAAUGCGUAGAUAUCGGGAGGAAUACCAGUGGCGAAGGCGGCUUUCUGGGUUACCACUGACGCUGAGGAGCGAAAGCGUGGGGAGCGAACGG